rnacentral:misc_RNA from 1 species
GAUGAAGAACGUAGCGAAAUGCGAUAAGUAAUGUGAAUUGCAGAAUUCAGUGAAUCAUCGAAUCUUUGAACGCACAUUGCGCCCGCUAGUAUUCUGGCGGGCAUGCCUGUCCGAGCGUCAUUUCAACCCUCAAGCCCCCGGGCUUGGUGUUGGGGAUCGGCGAGCCUCCGCGCCCGCCGUCCCCUAAAUCUAGUAGCGGUCUCGCUGUAGCUUCCUCUGCGUAGUAGCACACCUCGCACUGGGAAACAGCGCGGCCACGCCGUUAAACCCCCAACUUCUGAACGUUUGACCUCGGAUCAGGUAGGAAUACCCGCUGAACUUAAGCAUAUCAAUAAGCGGAGGA